rnacentral:tRNA from 1 species
GCCGCGGUAACUCAGUUUGGGAGAGUGCACGGCUGAAGACCGUGAUGUCGAGGGUUCGAUCCCCUCCUGCGGCA